rnacentral:tRNA from 1 species
UAGAAAGUAAUAUAAGGGAAGUAUGGAGGGUUUUGAUUCCUCUAGUGCAGGUUCGACUCCUGUUUUUCUAA